AGCUCCAAUAGCGUAUAUUAAUGUUGCUGCAGUUAAAAAGCUCGUAGUUGGAUUUCUGACCUGGAGCGCCUGGCCCGUAAGCGAAAGCUCAUGAGCGCCGGAGCGCUUCGGUCAUCCGUUCAGAGACCCUUUCUGCCCUUCGCGGGGUUGGACUGUGGGAUCUGAACCAUUUACUUUGAAGAAAAUAGGGUGUUCAAAGCAGGCUUUUGCUAUGAAUACUUCAGCAUGGAAUAAUAAGAUAGGACUUUGGUUUUAUUUUGUUGGUUUCUAAAACUAAAGUAAUGAUUGAUAGGGACGGUUGGGGGUGCUAGUAUUUAACGGCCAGAGGUGAAAUUCUUGGAUUCGUUAAAGACUAACUUAGGCGAAAGCAUUCACCAAGGACGUUCUCUUUA
rnacentral:rRNA from 1 species